rnacentral:lncRNA from 1 species
CCUGUAAUCUCCCAUCACCUGCGUGGUGAACACAGAAGAGAUCUCAUCGCUCCUCACAAUGGCUAAAUGAGGAGCAGCAUGGACAGUAUUUGCUGGUGUAGGAUUUUUCAUUUAAUUAAGCCUGAGUUUCUAUCUGCCCAAGGGACCUCACUGAUAAAGGGAAGAUGCUGAAAAAGCCUUGUUGGUAUUUAAGCCUCGCAAUAACUUUUUCCCUAUAUAAUUAAAGUCUGUCCAUUG